GCUGAACUUAAGCAUAUCACUAAGCGGAGGAAAAGAAACU
rnacentral:rRNA from 1 species